rnacentral:miRNA from 1 species
AAGAGAAGAGGCCGUCAAAUUAGCCAGGAUGACUGCCUGAAACCAAGCAAAUGAUCACAUAAUAUGGAUCUUCUGAGUAGAGCAGGCAAGUCAUCCUUAACUACCACUCUUUCCA